rnacentral:rRNA from 1 species
UACCGGAUAGGACCACUUCACGCAUGUGAUGGUGGUGGAAAGUUUUUUCGGCGCAGGAUGUGCUCGCGGCCUAUCAGCUUGUUGGUGAGGUAACGGCUCACCAAGGCUUUGACGGGUAACCGGCCUGAGAGGGUGACCGGUCACACUGGGACUGAGACACGGCCCAGACUCCUACGGGAGGCAGCAGUGGGGAAUAUUGGACAAUGGGCGGAAGCCUGAUCCAGCAACGCCGCGUGAGGGAUGACGGCCUUCGGGUUGUAAACCUCUUUCAGUACCGACGAAGCGCAAGUGACGGUAGGUACAGAAGAAGGACCGGCCAACUACGUGCCAGCAGCCGCGGUAAUACGUAGGGUCCGAGCGUUGUCCGGAAUUAUUGGGCGUAAAGGGCUCGUAGGCGGUUUGUCGCGUCGGGAGUGAAAACACCGGGCUUAACUCGGUGCUUGCUUUCGAUACGGGCAGACUAGAGGUAUGCAGGGGAGAAUGGAAUUCCUGGUGUAGCG